CUCAACUCACCUGCGCAUCUGGCUUCGUCUCCCUCACCUGCCUUGGCCACACCUCCACCUGGCCUUGAUGGGAACACGAGGAUAGUCGUUUUAUUCCUUGCGUUUUACUGCUGCGGCGGAGCAAGAUACACCUGGUCACAUCCACAGGAUCUCUCAAUCUUCUCACUUUCACGGCGUUGCUAAGAUACGGCGCCAAACACUUACGACAGAACAACGACAACACAUCACGUAACGCGUUCUGAAAACACCGAAAAAUAAAGAAAUAAUGAACAAUACGAAUCGGAGGAGGAGGGAGAGGAACCAAAAAGAGGACACGGUCGACAAAACCAACAGCGCCGAGGUUUGGGUAUUGAAUAAGGGGACAGAGGUAAACACGAGAGUAGCAGACAGGCACGGAGGGCUUAAUAGACAGGUAGACAGGUAGGGGAGAAGCCGGACAGGUAAACACACACACCAGACCGAGGAAACAAGCAAAGGUGAUGUAGGGGGAAGAGGAGGUGAAAGAGGACGAGGAUUAGGAAGAGGAGGAGAAGAGGAAGUGAGUGAGAGGGAGUGGAGUGCAAGCCUAUCACAGCAUGAAGAGAAGAAAGGAGAGAAAGGGAGAAGGAGAGCAAGACUGAGAAAAAGGAGUUGGAAAAAUGCAAGAAAAAAUAAAUCGGGAAGAGAGAAACGUUAACGAAGAGACGGAGAGGUGAAGAGAGGUUACGAUACACACUAACUCAUAAUGAAAAGAUGUAUAAUGGGAAGUAGAAAAGAAGGAAACAGAGAAAAUAAAGAGCAGAACACCACACAUGAGAAGGAUGAGGAGGUUUAGGAAAAUGGAGAACACAAGGAAAACUACGCUAGAGUAACACAAGAAGACGACGAUUAACUGUAAAGAGAGGAAGAGGAGAUAUAGGAGAACAAGGAACAGAGGUGCAUGGAUAGAAGUAACCAGAUAUACCUCACUACAGUUACACGAGACGAAGAGAAAAGGAGGAGGAGGAGGAAGAAGAGAAGGACUAGGAAGAGAAAUACAAGUGCAGUGGAGUCAAGAACAAGGCUGAUAAUACGUCCACUCCUAUACGCCCACAUGAGACAGGUCUCACCGAAGCACUUCAAGUUGAGGUCUUCCCCGCCCCGCCGCCGCCACCGCCCAAUGAACGAACGCUUAGUGAGUGUUUGACGGGGCUUGGGGAUGCUGCGGCUCUCCGGCUGACUAGGGUUCCUUCCUCCUGCUGUCGCUGUGGCCUGCUGGUGCUGUCUCGUUCAUCUUAGGUACACGACGCUAACAAGCAACAGUGGCAGCGGCAGCGACGAGGAACUUGACUGACUUGACUGGAGGGCUGACUGGCUGGCUUGCUGGUUGGGUCACCAGGGGCGCCUCAUACACAGGGACAGCACCACCACCCCCACGGCGUCCUGGACUCUCCAAACCUCGACCAGCUGCGUCAUGAGAACGGAAGCCUCUCAGCCGCACGUCAUCCUCCAGCAUCUCAUCCACCCACCCGUCAAAGUCGAGGCGUCCAGUUCCCAGCAACAAGGAAGUGACGUCUGGGGCGUGGAGAGGAGGAAUAUACAAUGACUUGAACUGGGAACAGCAAUAUCACCACCCCCAAGGGGAGUGUACGACGUACACAGCAAGAGUUGAAAAUAAACUUUAUUGUUCAGACGUGCAGAGCAUGCAAUAUAAAAAGUUAUAAAUCGGU